CUUUUUUUUUUUUGCCAGAACUUAAGUCCUUUGAAAUUAAUUGCUUAACUUUUUAUGUAAGAUUAUAUUUUUUUCCUAAUGACUCAUAAUUAACCUGAGUUAAUGCAUGCAUUUUCAGAGCAAGUAAUAGGUUGUUAUUAUGGAGAUCUUGCUGAGAGAUUUCAAAGAUGGUUACCUGGACAGUCAGAACUGAAAGAUAAAAAGGGCCCUGAAUUUAAGCUUCUUACUAGAUUUAGGGAAUUGUACUCACAUCUGCUUAUCUUUAAAUCAUUUUAUUCUCUUGUAUAUGGUCUUGCAUUGCCUCAGACAUAAAUGAGCAUAUUCUGAUCUACUCUUGGGAUCUGAACUCAUUUUCACAGAUGCCUUCAAUUAAAUUGCAGAGUUCUGAUGGAGAGAUAUUUGAAGUUGAUGUGGAAAUUGCCAAACAAUCUGUGACUA